rnacentral:tRNA from 1 species
GCGACGCUAGUCGGGAUCGCCAAGGCGCUGGGCGUCACGAUCGACCACUUCGUCGGUUCGACGUCCGGUGCGCCGCC